UACGUAGGGGGCAAGCGUUGUCCGGAAUCAUUGGGCGUAAAGCGCGUGUAGGCGGCUCAGUAAGUCCGCUCGUGAAAGCCCGGGCUCAACCCGGGAGGCGGGUGGAUACUGCUGAGCUCGAGUCCGGAAGAGGAGUGUGGAAUUCCUGGUGUAGCGGUGAAAUGCGCAGAUAUCAGGAGGAACACCAAUGGCGAAGGCAGCACUCUGGGACGGUAACUGGACGCUGAGACGCGAAAGCGUGGGAGCAAACAGG
rnacentral:rRNA from 1 species